rnacentral:rRNA from 1 species
AUUGAACGCUGGCGGCAUGCUUUACACAUGCAAGUCGAACGGUAACAGGCCGCAAGGUGCUGACGAGUGGCGAACGGGUGAGUAAUGCAUCGGAACGUGCCCAGUCGUGGGGGAUAACGCAGCGAAAGCUGUGCUAAUACCGCAUACGAUCUAUGGAUGAAAGCGGGGGACCGUAAGGCCUCGCGCGAUUGGAGCGGCCGAUGUCAGAUUAGGUAGUUGGUGGGGUAAAGGCCCACCAAGCCAACGAUCUGUAGCUGGUCUGAGAGGACGACCAGCCAGACUGGGAGUGGGAACGGGCACAGACGCCUACGGGAGGCAGCAGUGGGGAAUUUUGGACAAUGGGCGCAAGCCAUAUUCAGAAAUGCCGCGGGCAGGAAGAAGGCCUUCGGGUUGUAAACUGCUUUUGUACGGAACGAAAAGGUCUGGGUUAAUACCCUGGGCCGAUGACGGUACCGUAAGAAUAAGCACCGGCUAACUACGUGCCAGCAGCCGCAGUAA